CGAGCAGCAGCUUUGCCAUAAAUCCCGAGACUGGCUUGGUUGCUUCUAUUGCCCCUUCUCUCCUUGCAAAAGGAGCCAAGGAGAGAAUAUAAAAUUUAAGGAUGCCAUGGGACAUGAGUUAUUAUUUAUUUAUUUCAAUGUAUUAGCACUCAGUUCCAGUAGAUUCUGCUGCUGCUUACAUUGCCUGGUGCUGAUGCCGAUAGAGUGUGAAAGUAAGGGGCAGUUGCUUAGCCUCUUACAAUAGCUUGAAGAUGAUCGUUACAGUAUUGUUAAGUAGGGCAGAUCUGGUGGUUAUGUUGAAGAGAGCUGUAUUUUGUCAGAUAAAAUUAAAAUAAAUAUCAGAUAAAAUGUUUAUUCUGAGAAUAGGUUGGUGGUAUUUUUUUUCCCUCCCAUGUCCUCACCAGUUUUACAUAUAAAAAUUUGAAAUUGGGAAGUGAAACUUCUAAAAUGGAUCUUCACUGACGGGAAAUCUUUUAUUUGCUGAUUACUACUUAUUACGAAACUGUUCACAUCACAUGAGCCCCUUGAGAAAAAGAACUGUUGCACCACCAUUCUGAAUUUGAAGGACUGGAGGAUGGAAUUGUGAGACUACAGAAAUGCUCAAAAUAUAAUGAAAAAACAAAGGAGCAUGAUACAAGAAGACUCCAAGUAUUGUUCCUUUUGCUUUAACACCAGGAUUUGAAGAUAAUAAUGGACAAAUAAAAGAAGGAAAAGGCAUAGCAAAUAUAGAAAGCUAAGAUAUAUUUACAAGUAAGAUGAACUACUGUAUUAACUCUGGAAGCUCAGUAGGAAGUAGGUAUAACUUAGAGGUAAGCCUCAUUAAUUCAUAUGAAUUUACUUCCAUGUGCCUGAUGAAAUUUACUUCAGUUUAUGAUUUUUUUUUACUACAAUGAAUUUGUUAUCACAUAAAAUAUCCUCAGGUUUGCUCUGAGAGGCUAGAAUAGCUAACAUUCUAGGAAUUCAAGUAAGUAUGCUUAAAUGAAGUUCAAGAAUAAUGAUGUUUUUCGAAAAGAGAUUACAGAUGUUGAUUAUUUUCUAACAUUAGUUAGCUAAGCUUUAUGAUAAAAAUAGGGAUGUGUCAAUGGGAAUUAAACGGAGAUUUAAAGCUCUCCAGAGAUUUAAAUUCAGUGUACUUAUAAUGAUAUACAAAAUUACCCCUCGAGGUUGUUGUAUGUCCUUGUGAUAAGCCAAGCUGUGAUUCAAGAGAAAGCUCUAUUUUAAUAUAAAUGUUCCAAACUAUUAUGGUUUUGCUGUUGUAUAUUAAAUAUGUGUGAUUUUAAUGUUACGUAAUUACAUUGCCUUUCUGUAAAUUUAUUUUAAUUAUUGUGCAUUGUUGAAAUGGUUUUUAAUAUGUAUUUUCCAGGUUAUGUAAAUAAUAAAAAAACAAGAGAUAGUGUACAAGGAAAUGACGACUUGUUAAUGUCCCCUUCUUCCUGUUUUUUUAAAGUGCAAAAUAUGAAUCUGCUGUUUGCAUGCUAUAUUGAUAAAAAGAUUCAUUUAUUUAUCUGUCCAUCUUAAUUUAUAUGUAUCAAUAUAUAUGUAUUUUUAUAUAUAAGUAUGUAUAAUGGGAAUGGAAGAUGCUGCUUAUUCAUGUAGACUACAAUAUGGUAGACAGAAUAUUCUCUGGGAUGUAAUCCUAAUAUUACAGAAGAAGUGACAAUGCAGCUUGUUUUUAGUGCUUAUUUAGUGCUUAUUUAGUUGAUUUCUGAGUAUGCAUGCUGUGUCCCAUUUGUGUUUAUUUAAACAAAACAAAAUUAUACUAAUUUCAGCGGAAUUAAGUAUGAUGUAAAUGAGGUGACAGGGCACUAAAAUCUUAUAUCUGUUGAUGAUCACUUUUCCCCUUCAACAGUAGACCCAUCCUCUCAGAUGAACAGGCCACAUUUACCAGCAGAAAGAAAUUGUAGCAUCAUAGAUUAUAAAAGAAGUAAAGCCUUCUCCCGAGAGACAAGGUGGAUUCUUGAAGAAUACACAUCCAUGAACACAUAUCCAUGUAGUCCUCUUGGCAACAAUAGGAAAGUGGAUAAACAGGCUUGGAAUUUCAGCAGCUGUUGGAUAGCUAUUUAUAUGUUUAUCAAAGUGCUAUAGUAAGUGAGAACUAUAUUGGUCUUUAUUAGAACUGUCCUUGUUCUAAAAAAAAUAAACGAGAGAAAAUAUAUUUUGUA